rnacentral:rRNA from 1 species
GAUGAACGCUGGCGGUCUGCUUAACACAUGCAAGUCGAACGGGGUACUUUCGGGUACUUAGUGGCGGACGGGUGAGUAACGCGUAAGAAUCUGCCUUUAAGUGGGGGGAUAACUACUGGAAACGGUAGCUAAUACCGCAUGAGUCUGCGGAUAAAAGGACUUUGGUCUGCUUAGGGAAGAGCUUGCGUCAGAUUAGGUAGUUGGUGGGGUAAAGGGCCUACCAAGCCUGUGAUCUGUAGCUGGUCUGAGAGGAUGAUCAGCCACACUGGAACUGAGAGACGGUCCAGACUCCUACGGGAGGCAGCAGUGGGGAAUUUUCCGCAAUGGGCGAAAGCCUGACGGUAGCAAGACCGCGUGGGGGAGAA